rnacentral:tRNA from 2 species
AAGAGUUUAGGUUAGCAUUAUAGACCAAGGGCCUUCAAAGCCCUAAGCGGAAGUGAAAAUCUUCCAACUCUUA